GCUGGCGUAGCUCAGACGGUUAGAGCGCGAACUUGGUAAGUUCGAGGUCACCGGUUCAAUUCCGGUCGCCAGCU
rnacentral:tRNA from 1 species